AACGAACGCUGGCGGCAUGCCUAACACAUGCAAGUCGAACGAGACCUUCGGGUCUAGUGGCGCACGGGUGCGUAACGCGUGGGAACCUGCCCUUAGGUUCGGAAUAACUCCCCGAAAGGGGUGCUAAUACCGGAUAAUGUCUUCGGACCAAAGAUUUAUCGCCUUUGGAUGGGCCCGCGUUGGAUUAGCUAGUUGGUAGGGUAAAAGCCUACCAAGGCGACGAUCCAUAGCUGGUCUGAGAGGAUGAUCAGCCACACUGGGACUGAGACACGGCCCAGACUCCUACGGGAGGAAGCAGUGGGGAAUAUUGGACAGUAGGCGAAAGCCGGAUCCAGCAAUGCCGCGUGAGUGAUGAAGGCCUUAAGGUUGUAAAGCUCUUUUACCCGGGAUGAUAAUGACAGUACCGGGAGAAUAAGCUCCGGCUAACUCCGUG
rnacentral:rRNA from 1 species